CAAUAAGCGGAGGAAAAGAAAAUAACAAUGAUUCCCCCAGUAACGGCGAGUGAACAGGGAAAAGCUCAAAGUUGGAAGCUCCUGGCCCUAGGCUAGGCGCAUUGUAAACUAAAGCUGUAAAGUAGUUCGGUUGGCCUGGUAAAAAAGUUCCCUGGAAUGGGGCGACAUGGAGGGUGAAAUCCCCGUCUUUGGCCAGAGUUCAGCCGUGCGUUUGCUUUGCUGCGAAGAGUCAGGUUGUUUGGGAAUGCAGCCUAAAAUGGGAGGUAGACUUCUCCUAAAGCUAAAUAUUGACGAAAGACCGAUAGCGAACAAGUACCGUGAGGGAAAGAUGAAAAGCACUUUGAAAAGAGGGUCAAAAAGUACGUGAAAUUGCUGAAAGGGAACCGUAUGAAAUCAGCCUGAUGUGUGGGUAAUCAGCCUGGGCUUUGGCCUGGGUGCACUUGCCCAUGUAUUAGCCUGCGACAGUUUGACCUGGGGGAAAAAAGAUGGGGGAAUGUGGCCUCGGCUUCGGUCGAGGUGUUAUAGCCCCUGUCAAAAUACCUUGGGUUGGACUGAGGACUGCAGCGAGCCGUAAGGCAUGGGUCUCGGGCGCUCUGUCUCGGCGAAAAGUGAAUCUCUGCUUCGGGUGGUGCGCUUUUCUUCAGGGCAGACUCGCCUGUUUCUUCUUUCUCUCGCUUAGGUCGUAGGCAUAAUGAUUUUAUAUGACCCGUCUUGAAACACGGACCAAGGAGUCCACCAUAGUUGCGAGUCUUUGAGUGUAAAAACCCAUGGGCGUAAGGAAACUGACCAAGAUAUGAAGGCCUUUGGCUGGCAAUAUCCUCCGGCGAGGACGUUUUAUACUGAAUUGACCGAGAGAAAGCACCUAUGAUGGGACCCGAAAGAUGGUGAACUAUACUUGAAUAGGGUGAAGCCAGAGGAAACUCUGGUGGAAGCUCGUAGCGAUUCUGACGUGCAAAUCGAUCGUCAAAUUUGAGUAUAGG
rnacentral:rRNA from 1 species